rnacentral:rRNA from 1 species
CCUACGGGCGGCUGCAGUGGGGAAUAUUGCACAAUGGGCGCAAGCCUGAUGCAGCCAUGCCGCGUGUGUGAAGAAGGCCUUCGGGUUGUAAAGCACUUUCAGCGGGGAGGAAGGCGGUGAGGUUAAUAACCUCAUCGAUUGACGUUACCCGCAGAAGAAGCACCGGCUAACUCCGUGCCAGCAGCCGCGGUAAUACGGAGGGUGCAAGCGUUAAUCGGAAUUACUGGGCGUAAAGCGCACGCAGGCGGUCUGUCAAGUCGGAUGUGAAAUCCCCGGGCUCAACCUGGGAACUGCAUUCGAAACUGGCAGGCUAGAGUCUUGUAAAGGGGGGUAGAAUUCCAGGUGUAGCGGUGAAAUGCGUAGAGAUCUGGAGGAAUACCGGUGACGAAGGCGGCCCCCUGGACAAAGACUGACGCUCAGGUGCGAAAGCGUGGGGAGCAAACAGGAUUAGAUACCCCGGUAGUC